rnacentral:rRNA from 1 species
ACGAAAGUCUGACGGAGCAACGCCGCGUGAGUGAUGACGGCCUUCGGGUCGUAAAGCUCUGUUAAUCGGGACCAAAGGCCUUCUUGCGAACAGUUAGAAGGAUUGACGGUACCGGAAUAGAAAGCCACGGCUAACUACGUGCCAGCAGCCGCGGUAAUACGUAGGUGGCAAGCGUUGUCCGGAAUUAUUGGGCGUAAAGCGCGCGCAGGCGGAUCAGUCAGUCUGUCUUAAAAGUUCGGGGCUUAACCCCGUGAUGGGAUGGAAACUGCUGAUCUAGAGUAUCGGAGAGGAAAGUGGAAUUCCUAGUGUAGCGGUGAAAUGCGUAGAUAUUAGGAAGAACACCAGUGGCGAAGGCGACUUUCUGGACGAAAACUGACGCUGAGGCGCGAAAGCCAGGGGAGCGAACGGGAUUAGAUACCCCGGUAGUCCUGGCCGUAAACGAUGGGUACUAGGUGUAGGAGGUAUCGACCCCUUCUGUGCCGGAGUUAACGCAAUAAGUACCCCGCCCUGGGGAGUACGACCGCAAGGUUGAAACUCAAAGGAAUUGACGGGGGCCCGCACAAGCGGUGGAGUAUGUGGUUUAAUUCGA